AUAGAAAGAAAAAGGAAGUGGUUCUUACUGUAUGAAAUCAAAGCCACAGAUUUGCAAAGGCUUCACAUUAAAAGUUCUUAGUUCUCCUUUUAUUUUUUAUUUUUUAAUUUAAGUGACUUUCCUAGGUCACCCAGCUUGUAGUUAAGUGUCUGAGGCCGGAUUCAAAUUCAGGUUCUCCUCACUCCAGGGCACCAUCUAGCUGCCGCUCUCCUCCUUUUUCAAAUCAGGAGACUAAAACACAGAAAGAUGAAUUCAUUUGCUCAGGGUCAACUAGGAAGAAAGAGGCAGAGUGAAAUUUGAACGCAGGUCCCUUGUGUAUCUGUAAGUCUGUUGAACCUCCUACUGCUAUAGCAAAUUGGCUGUAAGCCCAGAGCUUCCUGAAGACUAUUUUGCCAUCCAUAGAGACCUUGGAACAUAGAACAUCAGAGUUAGAAAUGGCCUGAGAACGUAGAAUGUUAGCGAUAGAAAGAACUUUAGAACUCUUAUUGGUGGGGCAGGAAAGGACCUCAGAACAGAGACUGAGAGGGAUCUUAGAGCCCAGAAUGUCAGGGCUGGGAGGGUCAUGAACUGUAAAGAACCUUCCAAUAUCAAAUGAGCUGUUGGGGUGGAAGAGAGUCUAGAAUACAGGGUACGAGUGGAAGAAGGAAUGAACAUCUUCACCCUUGUGGGAGUAGCUGCUAAUCCAAGAAGUGGAUUGUAGCAUUGAUUGACACGGGCACGGCACGAAGAGGAACAUAAAGAGAUGAGGAGUCUUCCGUUUGCCCUUCGCAUUUCACUAUUAUUCUGAGCUGGUGUUUUUUGGAAGUGAGACUUGGAUGAACUUUGAAGUAGAACGUUAAAUCCUUGGCAGCUGACUCAAGUCUUUGUUGGGAGCUCGGUCUGAUGCGCCAAGCUGUAGAAAGGCUGGGGGGCUCGGUCACCCUUGACGUUCCUUGAGCUCAUCAAUUUCACUGCUAGAUUUUGGCCCCGUUGCCAGAAGACCGGUGGGCUGCCCUUGAUCCCCAUGGGGGUAACUCUUCCAACAUCGUGGUCUGUGGGCUUUGGGCGCUCUGGGAACUAAGCCCGUAUUCUGAAAUUAUUCUCAACUUAUUUAUUACUUUUACAACUGCUAGAAGCCGGUGGGGGCGGAGGGUGGAUGAGAAAGUACACUGUACUUACGCACUGGAGGUGAUUAAAAAUGUUAAAACCCAAA